AAACUGCCAAUCCAUCCCUCCACCUUCAGGUCCCCUUCCCAUCCCCACGUCCCCACCCACAAGUCUGUUUUCUCUGUCUGUACCACAGAUAAUCUUGAAUUUCAGUGGCUGCAGUGGAGAAAUUUGAACCAUCUUACUUUUGAUUUAUUCUUAUUCUCGAUACAGCUUUGUAGCAAUGCCACAUACCUUCUUAAAAAACAAAUGAUUGGCACCCAAGUGCAGAGCGGUGAGCUGCACACACGUGCAUCCCUGCGCGCUGGCUGCAGGAGCAACAGGAGGCUGUACUCUGAAGAGUCUUUUCUGGCCUCUCCGUUCACCUCCAGGCAGUGACUCAGGAACACAGAGAUCUGGGCACCACUCGAACGAGGAAUUCCUGGUCAGAGACAGAAACUAUAGUUGGCCCAAAGGCAAGCUAAGUUUCCGGAGGAGGGAGAAGAGAAGCAGCGGUCAUUGUAUUCUGACCUUUACGGUUGGACCCCAGGGGUGGCUGGGGGCUUGGCUUUGACCUUUCCCUUUUUCCUGAUGCUGGCCUUGACCGUCAAAAACGACCUCGGGUCUCCACCCAAGGCUUUGCUGACAACUCAGAGUUGGCAGCCAUGAAGAGCCAAAAACUUUCCAAAGACUUCAUCAGCCCCAUUCCAGCAGCGGGACCUGCUGAGUCCCUGCAAGUUCUGACACCUGUGUGACUUUCCCCCUUCUUUUUCAACACCGAGUUUUGGACCUUUAUUUUUGCAGCUCUUGGCACAAAUGUUUUAAAACUGUUGUUGAGGUGGGAGAGAGGCCAAGACGACAGAGGAGAUGGACUUUGACCACACCUCCUUUCAGGAACACACCAAAAUCACAGCUGCUGAACAAACAUUUCCCAGACUAGCAGAGAAGAACAAAAUACUUCAUGCAGCGUAUGCUUCACAAAAAGAAGACGACAGUUACAGGUUCCUGGGUACAGGCGGAUAGGGGAAGAAGGCUGUGAAACCAAGGAAUUCUGGAGAUGUCUGGAAGCUGGGAAAUGGGACCUCAGUUCUACAGCUACAAGGAAUUGAAUUCUUCCAGCAACCUGAAUAAACAAGCAAAUUCUGCUUCACAGCCUGCAGAAGAGAACACAGCCCUGCAGACACCUUGACUUUAGCCUGGUAAAACCUGUGUUGGACUUAUAGAACUGUAA
ensembl:lncRNA